GACGAACCGUCCAAACGUUAUUCGGAAUCACUGGGCUUACAGAGUUCGUAGGCGGUCUGGAAAGUUGGGUGUGAAAUCCCUCGGCCUAACCGAGGAACUGCGCUUGAAACUACCAGACUCGAGGGAGAUAGAGGAAAGCGGAACUGAUGGUGGAGCGGUGAAAUGCGUUGAUAUCAUCAGGAACACCGGUGGCGAAGGCGGCUUUCUGGGCCGAUACUGACGCUGAGGAGCGAAAGCGUGGGGAGCGAACAGG
rnacentral:rRNA from 1 species